rnacentral:snRNA from 1 species
AUACUUACCUGGCAGGGGAAAUACCAUGAUCAGGGAGAUAGUUUUCCCAGGAUGAGGCUCAUCCGUUGCACUGCGGGUGUGCUGACCCCUGUGAUUUCCCCAAAUGCGGGAAUUUCAACUGCAUAAUUUGUGGUGGGGGGGACUGCGUCCCCACUCUCCCCUG